CCUACGGGGGGCAGCAGUGAGGAAUAUUGGUCAAUGGGCGGAAGCCUGAACCAGCCAAGUAGCGUGCGGGAUGAAGGUCCUACGGGUCGUAAACCGCUUUUGCACGGGGAUAACACCCUCCACUUGUGGAGGUCUGUAGGUACCGUGCGAAUAAGGGCCGGCUAAUUCCGUGCCAGCAGCCGCGGUAAUAAGGACGGCCCGAGCGUUAUCCGGAUUCAUUGGGGUUAAAGGGAGCGUAGGCGGAUGUUCAAGUCAGCUGUAAAAGCGCGCGGCCCAACCGCGCCCCGCAGUUGAAACUGGACGCCUUGAGUUCACAACAGGCAGGCGGAAUUCGUGGUGUAGCGGUGAAAUGCAUAGAUAUCACGAGGAACCCCGAUUGCGAAGGCAGCCUGCUGGGGUGCGACUGACGCUGAGGCUCGAAGGUGCGGGUAUCAAACAGGAUUAGAUACCCUUGUAGUC
rnacentral:rRNA from 1 species